GGUGGGGAGUGCACAGGAGGAUGAACUGGUGCGUGAGAGUGUGGCAUGGGCGAGUGGGCUGGAGAAUGCAUGGGAGCGUAAACGGGGGCGUGGUGGCGGUGAUGGUGAUGGUGGUGAGUAGGUGCAAGGCUGGGUGCGACAGUUGGUGGAUGGGCAUGGUGGUGGUGAGGAGGGUGAUAAUUAGGUGGUUGAGUUGGUGACAUAGCUGGGUGGUGAGAGUAGCCAUGAUGGUGUGGCGGGAUAGGUGAAACUGCUUCUAUUUCUUCAUCACUAAACACUGUGAAACACAGCAGUGAAAGUUGCAGUAGCACAAGUGCUUUAGCCAUAGCAAAG
rnacentral:lncRNA from 1 species